rnacentral:sRNA from 1 species
UCCAUUCUGUAAUCCUA